rnacentral:rRNA from 1 species
AAAUUGAAGAGUUUGAUCAUGGCUCAGAUUGAACGCUGGCGGCAGGCCUAACACAUGCAAGUCGAACGGUAACAGGAAGCAGCUUGCUGCUUUGCUGACGAGUGGCGGACGGGUGAGUAAUGUCUGGGAAACUGCCUGAUGGAGGGGGAUAACUACUGGAAACGGUGGCUAAUACCGCAUAACGUCGCAAGACCAAAGAGGGGGACCUUCGGGCCUCUUGCCAUCAGAUGUGCCCAGAUGGGAUUAGCUAGUUGGUGAGGUAACGGCUCACCAAGGCGACGAUCCCUAGCUGGUCUGAGAGGAUGACCAGCCACACUGGAACUGAGACACGGUCCAGACUCCUACGGGAGGCAGCAGUGGGGAAUAUUGCACAAUGGGCGCAAGCCUGAUGCAGCCAUGCCGCGUGUAUGAAGAAGGCCUUCGGGUUGUAAAGUACUUUCAGCGGGGAGGAAGGUGUUGUGGUUAAUAACCGCAGCAAUUGACGUUACCCGCAGAAGAAGCACCGGCUAACUCCGUGCCAGCAGCCGCGGUAAUACGGAGGGUGCAAGCGUUAAUCGGAAUUACUGGGCGUAAAGCGCACGCAGGCGGUCUGUCAAGUCGGAUGUGAAAUCCCCGGGCUCAACCUGGGAACUGCAUUCGAAACUGGCAGGCUUGAGUCUUGUAGAGGGGGGUAGAAUUCCAGGUGUAGCGGUGAAAUGCGUAGAGAUCUGGAGGAAUACCGGUGGCGAAGGCGGCCCCCUGGACAAAGACUGACGCUCAGGUGCGAAAGCGUGGGGAGCAAACAGGAUUAGAUACCCUGGUAGUCCACGCCGUAAACGAUGUCUACUUGGAGGUUGUGCCCUUGAGGCGUGGCUUCCGGAGCUAACGCGUUAAGUAGACCGCCUGGGGAGUACGGCCGCAAGGUUAAAACUCAAAUGAAUUGACGGGGGCCCGCACAAGCGGUGGAGCAUGUGGUUUAAUUCGAUGCAACGCGAAGAACCUUACCUGGUCUUGACAUCCACGGAAGUUUUCAGAGAUGAGAAUGUGCCUUCGGGAACCGUGAGACAGGUGCUGCAUGGCUGUCGUCAGCUCGUGUUGUGAAAUGUUGGGUUAAGUCCCGCAACGAGCGCAACCCUUAUCCUUUGUUGCCAGCGGUCCGGCCGGGAACUCAAAGGAGACUGCCAGUGAUAAACUGGAGGAAGGUGGGGAUGACGUCAAGUCAUCAUGGCCCUUACGACCAGGGCUACACACGUGCUACAAUGGCGCAUACAAAGAGAAGCGACCUCGCGAGAGCAAGCGGACCUCAUAAAGUGCGUCGUAGUCCGGAUUGGAGUCUGCAACUCGACUCCAUGAAGUCGGAAUCGCUAGUAAUCGUGGAUCAGAAUGCCACGGUGAAUACGUUCCCGGGCCUUGUACACACCGCCCGUCACACCAUGGGAGUGGGUUGCAAAAGAAGUAGGUAGCUUAACCUUCGGGAGGGCGCUUACCACUUUGUGAUUCAUGACUGGGGUGAAGUCGUAACAAGGUAACCGUAGGGGAACCUGCGGUUGGAUCACCUCCUUACCUUAAAGAA